UGUUCGGUGGCGUAGUUGAUUAACGCGUCCUGACUAGUGAAGUGGGAAGUCAUGGGUUCAAACCCCAUAUGAACAA
rnacentral:tRNA from 1 species